rnacentral:rRNA from 1 species
GACAGAGGUCCCGAGCGUUAGGCGGAAUCACUGGGCUUAAAGCGUGUGUAGGCGGACUUCUAAGUACCUUGUGAAAUCCCACGGCUCAACCGUGGAACUGCUUGGUAUACUGGUUGUCUUGAGCCACUUAGGGGCAGUCGGAACAGACGGUGGAGCGGUGAAAUGCGUAGAUAUCGUCUGGAACGCCAAAGGUGAAAACAGACAGCUGGGAGUGUGCUGACGCUGAGACACGAAAGCCAGGGGAGCGAACGGG